rnacentral:piRNA from 1 species
UGGAUUUGAGAGGGAGCAGGGAAUAUGGG